rnacentral:rRNA from 1 species
UAACGUAGGGUGCAAGCGUUGUCCGGAAUUAUUGGGCGUAAAGAGCUUGUAGGCGGUUUGUCGCGUCUGCUGUGAAAUUUCGGGGCUCAACCCCGAACUUGCAGUGGGUACGGGCAGACUAGAGUGUGGUAGGGGAGACUGGAAUUCCUGGUGUAGCGGUGAAAUGCGCAGAUAUCAGGAGGAACACCGAUGGCGAAGGCAGCUUGCUGGGACGGUACUGACGCUGAGACGCGAAAGCGUGGGGAGCAAACAGG